rnacentral:rRNA from 1 species
UAAGGAAUAUUGGUCAAUGGACGCAAGUCUGAACCAGCCAUGCCGCGUGAAGGAUGAAGGUCCUCUGGAUUGUAAACUUCUUUUAUGUGGGAAGAAACCCGGAAAUUCUUUUCCGGUUGACGGUACUACAGGAAUAAGCACCGGCUAACUCCGUGCCAGCAGCCGCGGUAAUACGGAGGGUGCAAGCGUUAUCCGGAUUCACUGGGUUUAAAGGGUGCGUAGGUGGGCAGGUAAGUCCGUGGGUGAAAUCUCUGAGCUUAACUCAGAAACUGCCGUGGAUACUAUCUGUCUUGAAUACCGUGGAGGUGAGCGGAAUAUGUCAUGUAGCGGUGAAAUGCUUAGAUAUGACAUAGAACACCAAUUGCGAAGGCAGCUCACUACACGCCUAUUGACACUGAGGCACGAAAGCGUGGGGAUCAAACAGGAUUAGAUACCCUGGUAGUCCACGCCCUAAACUAUGGAUACUCGACAUACGCGAUACACUGUGUGUGUCUGAGC